rnacentral:rRNA from 1 species
CCUACGGGUGGCUGCAGUGGGGGAUAUUGCACAAUGGGGGGAACCCUGAUGCAGCGACGCCGCGUGGGUGAAGAAGCGCCUCGGCGCGUAAAGCCCUGUCAGCAGGGAAGAAAAUGACGGUACCUGAAGAAGAAGCCCCGGCUAACUACGUGCCAGCAGCCGCGGUAAUACGUAGGGGGCAAGCGUUAUCCGGAUUUACUGGGUGUAAAGGGGGCGCAGACGGCGAUGCAAGCCAGGAGUGAAAGCCCGGGGCCCAACCCCGGGACUGCUCUUGGAACUGCGUGGCGGGAGUGCAGGAGGGGCAGGCGGAAUUCCUGGUGUAGCGGUGAAAUGCGUAGAUAUAACUUAGAACUCCGAUAGCGAAGGCAGCUUACCAGACUGCGACUGACGAUGAAGCACGAGAGCGUGGGUAGCGAACAGGAUUAGAUACCCUGGUAGUC